CUCUGCUGGCAUAUAAAGAGCUACAAGUCUCAGAUUGCUCUGUUGAUGGAACUCCUAAAGCUUCAGCAGAAAAACCAGAUCCCAUCUCAGGUAACCGCUGAAGACAUGAUUGAUCUCAUUCUGGAGAGGAGCAAAAAUACGCUGAGAGAGCGUCUUUGGGCGUUUGAGCUGGAGGAUUUCGAUGAGGACGAAGCCAG